AAAAAAAGUAAUUGUGAGUUUUCGUAUCCAACGUUUAAUCGUUCGUCUUAUUAAAAAAACAUGUUAGUAUUAUUGUUGUUAUUACAUAAUAAAAUAUGAAUAGUACUUUAUAUAUGACUAUUUUUUUUUAAUUUUUUUAUAAUGUAGACGAUCAAACGUUAAACACGAAAAUUCACGACUACAUUUAUA
rfam:Oryza nivara chromosome 7, whole genome shotgun sequence.